GCCUCGUUAGCUGAGUUGGUAGAGCGCUAGACUAAUAAUCCAACCGUUAAGGGGUCGAGUCCCCUAAAGGGCU
rnacentral:tRNA from 1 species